AAGAGGAGGAGGUAACCUUUAAUGUUUUUGAUGCCAUCAAGUAUUCGGAUACAAGUGAGAGUUGUUUCAGGAUCUGAGCAAUCGACUCUUUGGUCACUGAAGUAUUUAACCAACAAAAGGAGUCGUUGGAAGUUUGUUUGGUUAAUCCCAAUCUGACUAUGGUGGAGGAUCCGAAAGUGUUAGAAUAUGCUUUGUGGAUGGAUUCUUUUGGUCCUAACCGCAGAAAAUAUUUUGAAGUUUUGGGACAUGGAACAUCACGGCCCCUUCCGUCUAUUGAGAAACCACCCGCAUUGGAGCUUAAGCCCUUACCUGAACAUCUUCAAUAUGCGUAUAUUAGUGAAUCAAUUAAUUUUCUGGUAAUUAUUUCAUCCAAGCUUUCGAUUGAAGAAGAGGAAAAGUUGUUAAGAGUGCUUAGAGAACAUAAGGCAGCUAUUGGAUAGACACUUGCAGAUAUCAAGGGAAUUAGCCCUUCUAUUUGUAUGCACCGAAUUUUGUUGGAGGAAGAUUGCAAGCCAACGGUGGAGCAUCAAAGAAGACUCAAUCUGACAAUGAAGGAAGUGGUUCGUAAAGAGGUCUUAAAAUGGUUAGAUGCUGGAGUGACUUACCCAAUUUUUGAUAGCUCAUGGAUUAGUCCUGUGCAAGUAGUACCAAAAAAGGGAGGAAUGACAGUGGUGAAGAAUGCUAACAAUGAGUUGAUCCCUACGAGAAUAGUUACCGGGUGGAGAAUUUACAUGGAUUAUUGAAAAUUGAACAAAGCCACUCGGAAGGACCACUUCCCCUUGCCAUUCAUUGAUCAAAUGUUGGACAGGCUAGUCGGGCAUGAGUACUAUUGCUUCCUAGAUGGCUAUUCAGGGUAUAAUCAAAUAGCCAUAGCACCAGAGGACCAAGAGAAGACCACCUUCACAUGCCCUUAUGGCACUGUCGCCUUCCGUCAAAUACCAUUUGGACUUUGCAAUGCGCCAGCCACCUUCUAAAGGUAUAUGAUGUCAAUUUUUUCAGUUAUGGUAGAGCGGAUUAUUGAAAUUUUCAUGGAUGAUUUUUUUGUAUUCAGAUCGUCUUUUGAUGUCUGUCUUGGAAAUUUGGCCUUAGUUUUGAAGAGAUGUGAAGAAACUAACCUUGUACUUAAUUGGGAAAAGUGUCACUUCAUGGUAAAAGAGGGAAUUGUCUUGGGUCAUCGAAUCUCUUCAAAGGGGAUUGAAGUGGAUAGAGCAAAAAUUGAGACAAUCGAAAAGCUUCCACCACCAACAACAAUAAAAGGAGUACGGAGCUUUCUUGGACAUGCCGGGUUUUAUAAAAGAUUUAUUAAAGACUUUUCCAAUAUCUCCAAACCCCUUUGUAGCUUGCUUG
rnacentral:lncRNA from 1 species